rnacentral:lncRNA from 1 species
CUCUAUGAGGUCUCUCUAUGGGGUCUCUCUAUGGGUCUCUCUAUGGGUCUCUAUGGGUCUCUCUAUGGGGUCUCUAUGGGUCUCUAUGGGUCUGUCUAUGGGUCACUCUAUGGGUCCCUAUGGGUCGCAGUGGGUCUCUAUGGGUCUCUCUAUGGGUCACUCUAUGGGUCGCUAUGGGUCACAGUGGGUCUCUAUGGGUCGCAGUGGGUCUCUAUGGGUCGCAGUGGGUCUCUAGGGGUCUCUCUAUGGGUCUCUCUAUGGGUCUCUCUAUGGGUCUCUAUGGGGUCUCUAUGGGUCUCUAUGGGUCGCAGUGGGUCGCUAUGGGUCUCACCGUGCAGCAUCCAGACGCACUCUCCCAUGACGGAAUAGUUCCCGGCGCCGUCGCUCAAAGCCCCGCCCCCUUUCAGGCUCCACCUCUUCCCGGUGCAAGCCCCGCCCUCUGCCCCGCCCACCGCCACCAGCAGCAUUAGCCACGCCCACAAAAGGGGCGGGGCCAUGGUGCCCCGGGGGCGGGGCUUCGGGGAAGGGGCGUGGUUUAGCGGAGAGGGGGCGUGGUCUUCGCGGAGUGGGCGGGGCUUCGUGCUGGAAAGAGAGAGAGACAGGGUGGGGGUUAGGGGGCUCGGACCCAUAGCGCGCCCCAUA